GGGUUGUGAGGUUAAGCGACUAAGCGUACACGGUGGAUGCCCUGGCAGUCAGAGGCGAUGAAGGACGUGCUAAUCUGCGAAAAGCGUCGGUAAGGUGAUAUGAACCGUUAUAACCGGCGAUGUCCGAAUGGGGAAACCCAGUGCAAUUCGUUGCACUAUCGUUAACUGAAUACAUAGGUUAACGAGGCGAACCGGGGGAACUGAAACAUCUAAGUACCCCGAGGAAAAGAAAUCAACCGAGAUUCCCCCAGUAGCGGCGAGCGAACGGGGAGCAGCCCAGAGUCUGAAUCAGCUUGUGUGUUAGUGGAACGGUCUGGAAAGUCCGACGGUACAGGGUGAUAGUCCCGUACACCAAAAUGCACAGGCUGUGAACUCGAAGAGUAGGGCGGGACACGUGGUAUCCUGUCUGAAUAUGGGGGGACCAUCCUCCAAGGCUAAAUACUCCUGACUGACCGAUAGUGAACCAGUACCGUGAGGGAAAGGCGAAAAGAACCCCGGCGAGGGGAGUGAAAAAGAACCUGAAACCGUGUACGUACAAGCAGUGGGAGCACCUUCGGGUGUGACUGCGUACCUUUUGUAUAAUGGGUCAGCGACUUAUAUUCUGUAGCAAGGUUAACCGUAUAGGGGAGCCGCAGGGAAACCGAGUCUUAACUGGGCGUUAAGUUGCAGGGUAUAGACCCGAAACCCGGUGAUCUAGCCAUGGGCAGGUUGAAGGUUGGGUAACACUAACUGGAGGACCGAACCGACUAAUGUUGAAAAAUUAGCGGAUGACUUGUGGCUGGGGGUGAAAGGCCAAUCAAACCGGGAGAUAGCUGGUUCUCCCCGAAAGCUAUUUAGGUAGCGCCUCGUGAACUCAUCUUCGGGGGUAGAGCACUGUUUCGGCUAGGGGGUCAUCCCGACUUACCAACCCGAUGCAAACUACGAAUACCGAAGAAUGUUAUCACGGGAGACACACGGCGGGUGCUAACGUCCGUCGUGAAGAGGGAAACAACCCAGACCGCCAGCUAAGGUCCCAAAGUCACAGUUAAGUGGGAAACGAUGUGGGAAGGCACAGACAGCCAGGAUGUUGGCUUAGAAGCAGCCAUCAUUUAAAGAAAGCGUAAUAGCUCACUGGUCGAGUCGGCCUGCGCGGAAGAUGUAACGGGGCUAAACUGUGCACCGAAGCUGCGGCAGCGACACUAUGUGUUGUUGGGUAGGGGAGCGUUCUGUAAGCCUGCGAAGGUGGCCUGUGAGGGUUGCUGGAGGUAUCAGAAGUGCGAAUGCUGACAUAAGUAACGAUAAUGCGGGUGAAAAGCCCGCACGCCGGAAGACCAAGGGUUCCUGUCCAACGUUAAUCGGGGCAGGGUGAGUCGACCCCUAAGGCGAGGCCGAAAGGCGUAGUCGAUGGGAAACAGGUUAAUAUUCCUGUACUUGGUGUUACUGCGAAGGGGGGACGGAGAAGGCUAUGUUAGCCGGGCGACGGUUGUCCCGGUUUAAGCAUGUAGGCGGAGGUUCCAGGUAAAUCCGGUACCUUUUUAACGCUGAGGUGUGAUGACGAGGCACUACGGUGCUGAAGUAACAAAUGCCCUGCUUCCAGGAAAAGCCUCUAAGCAUCAGGUAACAUUGAAUCGUACCCCAAACCGACACAGGUGGUCAGGUAGAGAAUACCAAGGCGCUUGAGAGAACUCGGGUGAAGGAACUAGGCAAAAUGGUGCCGUAACUUCGGGAGAAGGCACGCUGAUAUGUAGGUGAAGCCCCUGCGGGUGGAGCUGAAAUCAGUCGAAGAUACCAGCUGGCUGCAACUGUUUAUUAAAAACACAGCACUGUGCAAACACGAAAGUGGACGUAUACGGUGUGACGCCUGCCCGGUGCCGGAAGGUUAAUUGAUGGGGUUAUCCGUAAGGAGAAGCUCUUGAUCGAAGCCCCGGUAAACGGCGGCCGUAACUAUAACGGUCCUAAGGUAGCGAAAUUCCUUGUCGGGUAAGUUCCGACCUGCACGAAUGGCGUAAUGAUGGCCAGGCUGUCUCCACCCGAGACUCAGUGAAAUUGAACUCGCUGUGAAGAUGCAGUGUACCCGCGGCAAGACGGAAAGACCCCGUGAACCUUUACUAUAGCUUGACACUGAACAUUGAGCCUUGAUGUGUAGGAUAGGUGGGAGGCUUUGAAGCGUGGACGCCAGUCUGCGUGGAGCCAACCUUGAAAUACCACCCUUUAAUGUUUGAUGUUCUAACGUUGGCCCCUGAUCGGGGUUGCGGACAGUGUCUGGUGGGUAGUUUGACUGGGGCGGUCUCCUCCCAAAGAGUAACGGAGGAGCACGAAGGUUAGCUAAUCCUGGUCGGACAUCAGGAGGUUAGUGCAAUGGCAUAAGCUAGCUUGACUGCGAGCGUGACGGCGCGAGCAGGUGCGAAAGCAGGUCAUAGUGAUCCGGUGGUUCUGAAUGGAAGGGCCAUCGCUCAACGGAUAAAAGGUACUCCGGGGAUAACAGGCUGAUACCGCCCAAGAGUUCAUAUCGACGGCGGUGUUUGGCACCUCGAUGUCGGCUCAUCACAUCCUGGGGCUGAAGUAGGUCCCAAGGGUAUGGCUGUUCGCCAUUUAAAGUGGUACGCGAGCUGGGUUUAGAACGUCGUGAGACAGUUCGGUCCCUAUCUGCCGUGGGCGCUGGAGAAUUGAGGGGGGCUGCUCCUAGUACGAGAGGACCGGAGUGGACGCAUCACUGGUGUUCGGGUUGUCAUGCCAAUGGCAUUGCCCGGUAGCUAAAUGCGGAAGAGAUAAGUGCUGAAAGCAUCUAAGCACGAAACUUGCCCCGAGAUGAGUUCUCCCUGACUCCUUGAGAGUCCUGAAGGAACGUUAAAGACGAUGACGUUGAUAGGUCGGGUGUGUAAGCGUAGCGAUACGUUGAGCUAACCGAUACUAAUGAACCGUGAGGCUUAACCUUACAACGCCGAAGCUGUU
rnacentral:rRNA from 1 species